rnacentral:lncRNA from 1 species
GGAAUAUUCUUGAUGUUAAAACGUGUGUUGAAACAUAUUGUUACCCUUGGGGGAUAGUAAUUUUUUUGCCAUUUAAACAUACGCGCUAUUUUUUUAAAUCUUCACUUUAGUUUUAUUAGUAUUAUAUUUAGUUAAUAGGGGAGACGCAUGGGACAGAGAGUUACUGAAAAGGUCACAGAAUGUGUGACGAAAAGAACUUUGACAGACGUAUAAACUAAAUAUAAUACGAACAAAAUCUUAAGGGAAGAUCAAAUCAAUAGUGGGUAUGUUUUAUUGGCAAAAAUGACUAUCUCCAAGUAUAACAAUAUAUAAAUAUUUAUCGCGUCUAAAGGUAUACCAGAGUGUCAACAAUCACCAACUUUUCGUUGAAGUAAAGUGUAAAAUAAAGCACGAACGAUUUUAACUUUCUUGAUGAGUCAUAUGUUUUACGGUUCUAUUUGUUUGACCGUCAGUUGCUCUGAUCAUUGUCCAAUAUACGUUUCUAUUUGUUUGACCGUCAAUUGCUCUGAUCAUUGACCGUCAAUUGCUCAGAUCAUUGUCCAAUAUACGUUCCUAUUUGUUUGACCGUCAAUUGCUCUGAUCAUUGACCGUCAAUUGCUCUGAUCAUUGACCGUCAAUUGCUCUGAUCAUUGUCCAAUAUACGUUCCUAUUUGUUUGACCGUCAAUUGCUCUGAUCAUUGACCGUCAAUUGCUCUGAUCAUUGUCCAAUAUACGUUCCUAUUUGUUUGACCGUCAAUUGCUCUGAUCAUUGACCGUCAAUUGCUCUGAUCAUUGUCCAAUAUACGUUCCUAUUUGUUUGACCGUCAAUUGCUCUGAUCAUUGUCCAAUAUACGCUCCUAUUUGUUUGACCGUCAAUUGUUUUGAUCAUUGUCCAAUAUACGUUCCUAUUUGUUUGACCGUCAAUUGCUCUGAUCAUUGUCCAAUAUACGUUCCUAUUUGUUUGACCGUCAAUUGCUCUGAUCAUUUACCGUCAAUUGCUCUGAUCAUUGUCCAAUAUACGUUCCUAUUUGUUUGACCGUCAAUUGCUUUGACCAUUGUCCAAUAUACGUUCCUAUUUGUUUGACCGUCAAUUGCUUUGACCAUUGUCCAAUAUACGUUCCUAUUUGUUUGACCGUCAAUUGCUCUGAUCAUUGUCCAAUAUACGUUCCUAUUUGACCGUCAAUUGCUCUGAUCAUUGACCGUCAAUUGCUCUGAUCAUUGUCCAAUAUAUUAGGUUGCCUCUGGCAAAAGGAUGUUCGCGUGUUUUUGAAUUCCUUGAGAGGAAACACAAGCAACGUUAUUCUAUCUCUGAUAAGUAGUGAAUAAACGCAUUCAACUCUGCCAUCAGUAUUGAACUCUUUCUGCUGAACGAUCGUGUACCCCACUCGCGGCAUAUACAUACAUACACACGCACACACACACACAUACACAUACAUAUAUAUAUUAGGUAUGUAUAUAUAUAUACUUACGAAACACCAACUCAAGCACACAUAAAUGUGUGUGCGUAUCUGUGAUUCUAUUAUCUGUUGGCAUCUUUUGACCUGGCUUCCACAUAUAAACCUUGUAUGGAAAUAACAUAACCAAAAGGACUAUAAGUAAAGAAGAACUACUACUACUACUACUACUACUACUACUACUACUACUACUACUACUACUACUAAUAAUAAUAAUAAUAAUAAUAUAGAAACCAAUGGCUCCCGUGUACUGUGAAAAGAAACGAUAUUGAGACUAUGUGAUAGUCAAUCGGUCAUGUGACUGCGGGGUAUUCAGUUAUAUGACCUUUGACACGCAAGCAUCUAGCUUUCACGUCACAUUGUCAUUAACUCCCAAGACAACUUUCUGAUUAGUAGAGUCAUGUAAUUAUUGAUAUCAUUUUGACAACCUUCAUCAUUAUUCAAAUUAGCUAUACUGAGAAAGAGUGAGAGAGAAAGAAAGAGAGAGAAAGAAAGAGACAAGCAGUUGGCCAGUCACCUGAAAACUAAAGACAGCUAACUCUUCCUCUUUCGUGACCAUCCCUAUUACUCCCAGAUAAUAAUUGGUGGCUUAGUCGCUGAUACUCAUUAAAAAUUAAAUAGUGUCUGUCUGUCUGUCUACCUCGGAACAUAACUGUUAACAUUAAGGCAGCUAGCUGACCAGUCCACACAUCAAAUCGUAAGAUCCCGCCAACUGAAUAGUUACAUGACCACCUCUACUCCAGACAGUCCAGUCACGUGAUCAAGUGGAUAAAUGUACUUCUGCUCAAUUACUGUGUUAAUAAAUUUUACUUGAUCAUAUUGUUCAUU